GCUAAAUUAGCUCAGUUGGUAGAGCAGCUGAUUCGUAAUCAGCAGGUCGGGGGUUCAAAUCCCCCAUUUAGCUCCA
rnacentral:tRNA from 1 species